GCAGCAGGCGCGCAAAUUACCCACUCCCGGCACGGGGAGGUAGUGACGAAAAAUAACGAUACGGGACUCAUCCGAGGCCCCGUAAUCGGAAUGAGUACACUCUAAACCCUUUAACGAGGAUCAAUUGGAGGGCAAGUCUGGUGCCAGCAGCCGCGGUAAUUCCAGCUCCAAUAGCGUAUAUUAAAGUUGUUGCGGUUAAAAAGCUCGUAGUCGAAUUUGUGUCUCGCGCCGACGGUUCAUCGUUCGCGGUGUUAACUGGCGUGCCGCGAGACGUCCUGCCGGCGGGCUUAGCUCGCAAGAGCGGCCCAAUUCAAUCCCGCCGCGGUGCUCUUCAUUGAGUGUCGAGGUGGGCCGGCACGUUUACUUUGAACAAAUUAGAGUGCUUAAAGCAGGCUAAAAUUUCGUCUGAAUACUGUGUGCAUGGAAUAAUGAAACAGGACCUCGGUUCUAUUUUGUUGGUUUUCGGAACCCCGAGGUAAUGAUCAACAGGAACGGAUGGGGGCAUUCGUAUUGCGACGUUAGAGGUGAAAUUCUUGGAUCGUCGCAAGACGGACAGAAGCGAAAGCAUUUGCCAAAAACGUUUUCAUUGAUCAAGAACGAAAGUUAGAGGUUCGAAGGCGAUCAGAUACCGCCCUAGUUCUAACUAUAAACGAUGCCAGCUAGCGAUCCGCCGACGUUCCUCCGAUGACUCGGCGGGCAGCUUCCGGGAAACCAAAGCUUUUGGGUUCCGGGGGAAGUAUGGUUGCAAAGCUGAAACUUAAAGGAAUUGACGGAAGGGCACCACCAGGAGUGGAGCCUGCGGCUUAAUUUGACUCAACACGGGAAACCUCACCAGGCCCGGACACCGGAAGGAUUGACAGAUUGAGAGCUCUUUCUUGAUUCGGUGGGUGGUGGUGCAUGGCCGU
rnacentral:rRNA from 1 species